rnacentral:rRNA from 1 species
UAGGGAAUCUUCCGCAAUGGACGCAAGUCUGACGUAGCAACGCCGCGUGAGUGAAGAAGGAUUUCGGUUCGUAAAACUCUGUUGUUAGAGAAGAACAGCGCAUAGAGUAACUGUUAUGCGUGUGACGGUAUCUAACCAGAAAGCCACGGCUAACUACGUGCCAGCAGCCGCGGUAAUACGUAGGUGGCAAGCGUUGUCCGGAUUUAUUGGGCGUAAAGCGAGCGCAGGCGGUCAAUUAAGUCUGAUGUGAAAGCCCCCGGCUCAACCGGGGAGGGUCAUUGGAAACUGGUUGACUUGAGUGCAGAAGAGGUGAGUGGAAUUCCAUGUGUAGCGGUGAAAUGCGUAGAUAUAUGGAGGAACACCGGUGGCGAAGGCGACUCUCUGGUCUGUAACUGACGCUGAGGUUCGAAAGCGUGGGUAGCAAACAGG